UGGGGAAUUUUGCACAAUGGGCGCAAGCCUGAUGCAGCGACGCCGCGUGAGGGAUGAAGGCCUUCGGGUUGUAAACCUUUUUCGCUCAUGGUCAAGCCGCAGCUUUGGGUUGCGGUGAGGGUAGUGGGUAAAGAAGCGCCGGCUAACUACGUGCCAGCAGCCGCGGUAAUACGUAGGGGGCUAGCGUUAUCCGGAUUUACUGGGAGUAAAGGGUGCGUAGGUGGUCCUUCAAGUCGGUGGUUAAAGGCUACGGCUCAACCGUAGUAAGCCGCCGAAACUGGAGGACUUGAGUGCAGGAGAGGAAAGUGGAAUUCCCAGUGUAGCGAUGAAAUGCGUAGAUAUUGGGAGGAACACCAGUAGCGAAGGCGGCUUUCUGGACUGCAACUGACACUGAGGCACGAAAGCGUGGGUAGCAAACAGG
rnacentral:rRNA from 1 species